GUGUCAGCGUUAGCUCAAUGGUUACUUCUGCCUUCUGUUGUCUGAAUGAAUCUUCAAGGGUUAAAGCCCUGUGGGUACUACCUGGGCUUUU
rnacentral:vault_RNA from 1 species